GGGGAUUUAGCUCAGUGGUAGAGGGCUUGCCUAGCAAGCACAAAGCCCUGGGUUCGAUCCCCAGCUCCG
rfam:Rattus norvegicus chromosome 5, whole genome shotgun sequence.